rnacentral:rRNA from 1 species
UAUGCUUUGACACUCUAGAGAUAGAGCUUCCCCUUCGGGGGCAAAGUGACAGGUGGUGCAUGGUUGUCGUCAGCUCGUGUCGUGAGAUGUUGGGUUAAGUCCCGCAACGAGCGCAACCCUUAUUGUUAGUUGCCAUCAUUCAGUUGGGCACUCUAGCAAGACUGCCGGUGACAAACCGGAGGAAGGUGGGGAUGACGUCAAAUCAUCAUGCCCCUUAUGACCUGGGCUACACACGUGCUACAAUGGGAAGUACAACGAGUCGCGAAGUCGCGAGGCUAAGCUAAUCUCUUAAAGCUUCUCUCAGUUCGGAUUGUAGGCUGCAACUCGCCUACAUGAAGCCGGAAUCGCUAGUAAUCGCGGAUCAGCACGCCGCGGUGAAUACGUUCCCGGGUCUUGAAA